UGUUCACUCGUGGUUCUUGUGUUGCCUACCCGUUUAGCGGUAUUCAUGUGCCUCUUAAGACCCGUUCAAUCCAGACCCCUUCUAGGGAGUGCUGGUGAGUUCGAAAGUGAUGCAUGUUUUGCGUUAGCUGUGCAUUGCAACGGUUGGCGUGCUAACAUGUGUCUAUUGUUCCCUCGGAUGCGGUGCAUGGGUGAACGUGGGCUGACGAUUGUGCCCCGUUGAGUCCCUUUUAAUUAUCGGUUGCCUUGAAUGACACUUUGUCGUAGUGCUAGUGUUGCUUUACCAUUCGUGGUGUCAACACUAGUAUGUCGAGCAGAGUCGUUGAUGGAUGCUACCUGGUUGAUCCUGCCAGUAGUCAUAUGCU
rnacentral:misc_RNA from 1 species